rnacentral:rRNA from 1 species
UUGAACGCUGGCGGCAGGCCUAACACAUGCAAGUCGAGCGGAUGAAGGGAGCUUGCUCCUGGCUUCAGCGGCGGACGGGUGAGUAAUGCCUAGGAAUCUGCCUGGUAGUGGGGGAUAACGUCCGGAAACGGGCGCUAAUACCGCAUACGUCCUGAGGGAGAAAGUGGGGGAUCUUCGGACCUCACGCUAUCAGAUGAGCCUAGGUCGGAUUAGCUAGUUGGUGGGGUAAAGGCCUACCAAGGCGACGAUCCGUAACUGGUCUGAGAGGAUGAUCAGUCACACUGGAACUGAGACACGGUCCAGACUCCGACGGGAGGCAGCAGUGGGGAAUAUUGGACAAUGGGCGAAAGCCUGAUCCAGCCAUGCCGCGUGUGUGAAGAAGGUCUUCGGAUUGUAAAGCACUUUAAGUUGGGAGGAAGGGCAGUAAGUUAAUACCUUGCUGUUUUGACGUUACCAACAGAAUAAGCACCGGCUAACUUCGU